rnacentral:rRNA from 1 species
UCGAGAAUCUUUUGCAAUGCUCGAAAGAGUGACAAUGCGACGCCGCGUGUGCGAUGAAGGUCUUCGGAUCGUAAAGCACUGUCAGCCGGGAGGAAGGUCUUCUCCUUUAAUAAAGGGGAAGGCUUGACAGUACCGGCAGAGGAAGCCACGGCUAACUCCGUGCCAGCAGCCGCGGUAAUACGGAGGUGGCAGGCGUCACUCGGAUUGAUUGGGUGUAAAGGGCGUGUAGGUGGUGAAUUAAGUCGAGUGUGAAAUCCCUUGGCUCAACCAAGGAACUGCACUUGAUACUGAUUUGCUUGAGCGACAGAGAGGCAAAUGGAAUUCCCGGUGUAACAGUGAAAUGUGUAGAUAUCGGGAGGAACACCAGUGGCGAAGGCGAUUUGCUGGAUGUCUGCUGACACUGAAACGCGAGAGCUAGGGGAGCAAACAGG